UAAAAGAAUUUGUCCGCCUCUCCCCUGCGGAAAGCCAAAGAAACCAGAGAGGGGAGUGGGGUGUGUCAAGAGCAACAGCCUGGAGGGUGUGGGGCGUGGGGGACGGACAGACGACAGGCACGGGACAAGCCAGGAGGAAAGGGCUCUGACAGCGCCCAUCUGGCAUGCACGAAGCAUGCCGCCUUGAAGAUGCGGAUGGGCCUUCGUUUGUAAGGAAUACUGGAGGCGGCCGCAGAGAAGGCGUUGGGAACCCCUCCACCUCCGUGCCCUCCAGAAAGGUAGCGGGACAGUGGGAGAUAAGGUGGAGGAGGCGGACUGUGAGACCCGGGGUUUGGGGGAGCCAGGAGGGGCGCUGUGAUCCUCCCAUCCUAGUGCACCAAGCACUGAGACCGCCACGACGCGGACCUGCGGCGAGGGUGGGAAGGAGCGGAUGGGAGUGCCCCUCCCUUCCCCCCCGCCGACCCUCGCCCACUCUUGUGUGAAGCCGCUGCCAAGGGUGGAGUCGGGAGGAGCUGAGAACCCCGUUCCCACUGAGCAGGAAGGGGUAAGAGGCCGGAGGGGUCUGGGGAUGCUGGGACUGCCCCCAACGAGAUCUGCGUGGGGAAUGGGAAGACCAGCGCCGGGGGGAGUCCAGGGGCUCCAAGACGCCGCCCAGAAAGAAGUCCGCAAUUGAGAGAGAUUCGACCCUCCCCUGAUGUAACCGUCACAGAGGAGACGGACCAAUGGGCAGCUGGCUCUGCUGUGAUGGACAGGUGCAGGGGGUGGGGCCACAGCACUGCACAUUUCUGUAGGUCGGUUGAAGCGAAGACCAGGCUCCAUCCAGCCCUCUGGACAAAAUAGCAGUUGUGAAACUGGAGGCCCAUGAGCAAUCACAGUGGCUCAAGAGGGCUCUGUGAGGCUUCUCGACCAGGUCAUGUCUUAGGGUAACAGUCUCAAUUCUCUUUUAAGAAAGAAUAUGCGUCUCUAGGACAGCUAACCAUAAACCCAUGAUUGGUUUAGAGUGGGUACAUGAUCCAGGCCCACCCAAUCAGAGUCUAAGAUUUGGCACAGGGGUGGGCACAUGAGCCAGAUUCAGCCAAUGAAACUCAGGACUGCGACUUUUGGGGCAUUAACCAGGAAAAAAGGCAUUUCCUCUUUUUUUUUUCUCUCCACUGGGGCUCUCAGACUGGGAAAAUGUUAGCUUGGAGCUGUGAUGGGGGAGAACCUGCUUGAGAGAGAAGCCAGCAUAGGAAAGCAGACCUGAGAGGGAGUCGGAUCCUGGAGACAUCAUUUGAGGGCUAGAUCCACCCGAACCUGAAUCUGUCAUUCUAACCCUGGGCCUCUCGGUAUAGUCCGUUAAGAGUCCGACUCUUGGUUUCGACUCAGGUCCGUGAUCUCAGAGUUGUGAGAUCGAGCCCUGCAUCAGGCUCUGUGCUGAGUGCAGACUCUCUCUUCCUCUCCCUCUGCCCCCUCUGCGCCUCCCCCCCCACCCCCCCACCCCCGUCUGCACUCUCUCUAAAAUAAAUAAGUCAAUCUUUAACCCUGGGCUUCUCAGUUACAUAUCCAGAAACUUCCUCUUUUUUUUUUUUCUUUUUAAAAGAUUUUAUUUUUAAGUCAUCUCUACACCCAACAUGGGGCUCAAACUCACACCCCGAGAUCAUGAGUUGCAUGCCCGACUGACUGAGCCAACCAGGCGCCCCCAGAAACUUCCUUUUACUUUUGCUCAAGUUACUUGCAGUAGGGUUUGCGACACUUGCAACUGGAAGACUCUUGGCUACCUCAGGAGGGCUGGGCGGUUGGCAAGUGAGAAAAUGGAGGCUUGAGAAGGGGGCUUGCCUAUCCAAGUCUGCACUCUGGGACAGGAGAAUGACUGUGCUGGAAUUGAGGACUCUGAAGAGGACCUUCUUGGGGUCCAGACAUAGGGGGACAAUUGAGUGGGACUUGGAGAUACACAGGCAUUCCAAUCAGUCUGGGGACAUCAGUGAGGGGGUGGGACAGGCAAGGUUCUAGACCCACCCUCUCUGCUCCUCAACACACUUCUGACUCAGUGGUCCCACCUCAACCCCAUGGGGUCCCACCUCCAACCCACGUGGGGUUAGGAGGGAGGAAUUAGGAGGGGAAUCUCUGGAUUGGGGUAUGGGUGGGCUCCAGGGGCAAGAGGAGAGUUUGUGAUCUCAGCUCAUGGCUACCGGAAUCAGACAGGGGGCUCUGCCGUCAUAGAGGAUGGGUGGCAGAGAUGGGGGCACAACAUGGGAGGAGAGGAAUGGGCAGAAGAAAGUCACGGGUGCCCCCCGCCCCGCCACUGCCUCCCUCCGGGAGAGUCCAAAACAUCUUGAAAACCAGGAUCCCACCCCAUCACCUGUUCUCCAGUGUGCUCGUGGGGGCUGGGACAUUUGAGUCUGGGGUCCCUUUCAAGACUGGGCACCAAGUGUUCUGAAAUCUGUGUCUGCAUCUGGCAGGGGCUGGAUUUUUAAGACCCCUGGGUUAGGAUUCCCAGGGAACUGGACCCUGAAUCACCUGGAUCUGUGCCUCCCAGGAAGCUGUGUAAGUGUUGCAGGUGACUCGUCUUCAGGUCAGAAUUCAGACAGGGACCGAUGUCUUCCAGGCGGGGAUGGGGACUCGAGGUCAGAAGCAAGAGACUCUGUCCAGGGUUUACACGUCUGUGUGUCUAUGUUCCUCCUUCCAUGGCCAUGCCUGUGUGUUUCAGUGGUGCUUUCUUGUGCCCAUGUAUGUGUCUGUGGCCAUGGUGUGUCCCUGUGUGACCACAGUAACUGUACAUGUAGUGUGUGUGUGCACCUGGAUGGUGUAUCCACGUGUGUAUGUGGUUAUUUAUUCAGCAGACAUUUCCUGAGCAUCUACUAUGUGGCAUGCUCUCUUCUGAGCGCCAGGAAUACACCAAAGGGCGAACAAGUACCCUGCCCUGCGUUUUCAUAUUCAAGUGUCCGUGAGGGCGUGUGUGCCUCUGUGUAUUGCAGGUUGUAACUACUCGAAACUGCACUGCACGUGUGAAAACGUGAACUUGCGGUUCGUGGCCUCAGGGGCUGGGGCAGAAUGACCCAGCGAUUUCCUGGAAGGCCAGAGACCCGAGGGUGACCGUCAAGGUGGCCUUAAAGCCCCGCCCCUCCGAGGCCUGGCCACGCCCCCCAGCCCGCACCGCGACGCCGGGGACCUCAGGCGGUGCUCUGCAGGCGGCAGCAGCGAGCUCCGGUCCAGUCCAUGGCCGCGCACUGGCAGUGGCAUGUGGCCUCGGCGCGCACGUCCCACGAGCCACAGGCGGAGCCACAAGUGCAGGCGGUGACGGCGAAGCCUGCGGGCGGAGCGGAGGGAGUCUGGACGCGGGCGGGAGGCUACCGGCCUGGGGGCCCGGGGGGAAGCCAAGGAAUGAAUGGGAGCCGGAUUGCGUGGGCGGCUGGGGGCCUGGACUCCAGUGUCCUAAGCUGUGCCGGAGCUGGGGCCGCAGACCAGGACCCUGGGGAAGUUGACUCAAGAAAUAGAGGCUGGACUUAGGGGGAGGGGUUCCUGGGUGCUGGGAACAGAAGCGAGAGCCUGGAAAAGGUCUCCGGUACUCACCUGCGGGGCAGGUGGCCAGGUCCCCCCUGGAGGUGACGCUCCGGCAGCUCAGGCCAAAGUUCCUCCUUGUCUCAAGAACUGCGGGAGGGAGGAGGGAAGGAAGCCGUGAGACCAAGCUGCCCCUGUUCUCAUGUGGCCUUGGCCCUGGUGGUUUGGAGAUAGGCAGGGGGUCAAGAAAACUCUUCUGAGGAAGGCCCAGGUGGGCCAGGCCCUGGUGGAGAGCCAUGAGAUGGGACGCUCAUCACCUCCCAGGUUCUGUCUUGAGAUGGGUGUUUUGGAGGAAGGAGGAUUUGGAGCUUCUGCCAAAGAUGGAGCUGGAUGGGGGCUGGGGUUGGCUUGGGUUUGGGGUGGAGGUUUGGUUCUGGUUGGGGCUGAAUUGAUGGCUGCUCCAUGUCAGGAAUUAGAGGGGGCCUCUGAGGCCCCUGCUGAGGUUGCAAGUGAGGGUCCUCACUUAAGGAUCUGGUGCCAUCCUGGAUCUUCUCAUUGAUGGCUUCAUCCACUGGACACAGAGACUUGCCACACACCAGCUGCCCCAGGACAGGGAGGAGGAGGAGGGCAAGAGCCUUCAUCCGGCAGGUGCUGCAAGAUGGAACCAACAGCCGGGUCAGUCCCUUCUCAUCUGGGGAGGGUCAAGCCUCCAGAGCAGGCUUCUGCUGGAUGUGGAGCUUCCUGUCUUAGCUGAGUGUCUUGGCUCCCUGGCCGUCCCCUCCCACAUCCGGGACCAAGAGGAAGCCCCCAGGGCAGACUCUAGGAGCCCAGAGUGGAACAAUCUGCAACAGACGGUGGCAAACUUGCAGCCCAUGGGACAAAUCUGGCCCACUGUCUAUUUCUGUGCAACCCAUGAGCUAAGAAUGGUUUUUACAUUUUGGGGGUUUUUUUUGGUUUUUGUUUUUAAUACAAACGGAUUUUUAAAAUUGUGGCAAAAUACAUUUCACAUUAAACUUAUCAUUUUAACCAUUUCUUAAAAAGAUUUUAUUUAUUUAUUUGGGAUGGACAGAGAGAGAUAGCAAGGGGUGGGGAGGGGCAGAGGGAGAAGCAGACUUUCCGCUGAGCGCAGAGCCCGAUGAAGGGCUCGAUCCCGGAACCCCGGGAUCAUGACCUGAGCCGAAGGCAGACGCUUAACUGGCUGAGCCACCCAGGUGCCCCAUUUUAGCCAUUUUUUAAGUGUAGGGUCCAAUGGCAUGAAGUACUCUCACAUUGUUGUGCAACCAUCCCCACCAACCAUCUCCAGAACUUUCUCAUCUUUCCAAACUGAAGCACUGUCCCCACGAAACACUAACUCCCUAUCCCCCCUAGCCAGACCUCCUGGCUCCCACCAUCUACUUUCUGUCUCUAUGAUUUUGCCUGUUCACACCUCAAGUAAGUGGAAUCACACAAUACUUAUCCUUUUGUGUCUGUCUUCUUUCACUUAGCAAGAUUCAUCCAUGUUGUGGCAUGGGGCAGAACUUUAUUCCUUUUUAUGGCAAAUAUUCCAUUGUAGGGACACACCACAUUUUGUUUAUUCAUUCAUCUGUUAGUUGCAACUUGCUUUGUUGUUUCCACCUCUUGUCAAUGAUGCCCCUGUAAACCUUGGAAUGUAUGAGCAUCUCUGAGCAUCUCUGAGUCCCUGCUUUCAGUUCCCUUGGGUAUAUAUCCAGGAGCAGGAUUGUUGGAUCAUAUGACAAUUCUGUGCUUAACUUUUCGAGGAGCUGCCAAAAAGUUUGUACAUUUUUAAAUCAUUGGAAAAAAAAUUUUGACAUAUGAAAAGUACAUGAAAUUGAAAUCCCAGUGCCCAUAAAUAAAGUGUUCUUAGAGCAUAGCCAUGCCUACUUUUUUAUAGAUGGUCUGAGGUUGCUUUCCCAGGUCAGUGACAGAGACUAUGCCCUGCAAAGGUGAACCCGGCUACCAUCUGGCCCUUUACAGAAAAAAAAAAAAAUUUGUCCACUCCUGGUCAAUAGCAAUGAGUGUGAAUGAGAGAUCACAAUGUAUGAAUUGCAGCUACAUGUAACAGUCUGGAUGAUUCUCACAAAACAUGACUGUGAGCAAAAAAAUCCAGACGCAGAAAAGAAAAGAACAUACCGCACAAAUCCAUUUAUUAAAAAGGACCAGGGCAGGGUGCCUGGGUGCCUCAGUUGAUCGAGCAUCCGACUCUUGAUUUUCCCUCAGGUCAUGAUCUCAGGGCCCUGAGAUCGAGUCCUGUGUCUGGCUCUGUGCUGGGUGUGGAGCCUGCUUGGGAUUCUCUCUCUCCCUCUCCCUCUGCACCUCCCCUCUCCCCACUCCACACACACACACACCUGCUCUCUCUCUCUCAAAAAAAAAAAAAAAAAAAAAAGCACAACUAAUCUAUGCUGUUGGAGAUGAGGAUGGAACUUCCCUGGGGAGUGAGGGAAAUUGGGAAGCUAGUGAAAAUUCGAGCAUACACUUCCAUCUGCACCAUUUUCUUUGCGCAUACUCUAUUUCAGUGACGUGUGUGAAAGUGACAUGUAUGUGUGAAAUCCCUAUGUAAAUACAACUGUGUACACAGGGCCAAAGUGUAGGCAAUAUUUAUUGAGCACUUACUAUGUGCCGGAUGGAAUGCUAUGCACCGUGCAUGCAGUGGGGAGCAAGGGGACCCCCCAGCCCUCACGCACUUUGCCCUGUCUGUCGGAGGAAGACAGACACCAAGAGAGAGCUCAGUUGGCCUCACACUCCACCAGUCAUCUCUGCCCCAGAGGAGAGGAACAGAGUUCUGGGAGAACUUCUGGCAGAAGAAUGUGGCCCCUGGUGGAAGAAUCCAGGGAAGUUUUAUGGAGGAAGAGAUGGCUGAGCGGAAGCUGGGGGUGAGCAAGAGUUAAGCAGGAGAACCAGUCAGGGACGGUAUUCUGGGUGGAAGGAACUGCUUGUCCCAAGGCCCUGGGGAAGGACAGCGUGCACCAGCUUUGAGGAACUGAAAAAAAACCAGUGGGCAGGAAGGCAGAGAGCCUGGUUGGCAUUAACAAAUUUUGCAGACUCCCUUCCUUGAAGACCCCCAGACACAGCUUGGAUACAAGGUAGUUCGGGACACAGCAAGAGUCAUUUUGUUAAGAGCUCUGAUCCUUCAAACCUUUAGUCUCAGAACUUUUCAGAUAAAAACUUUUGAGGGGCAAGAAGCGGGCAGCUCUGACUACAGGUUGGGUGAAAAGCAGGGGGCGUGUGUGGAACCCCUAGGAUUCCCUGGGGACUUAGUUUGAAAACCCUUGGUUAAGUAGCAGGAAAGGGCUGCAUGCCCUUCCUUUCUCUUUGAAGAAAAUAAAAUAUUUUGGGGGUGCCUGGCUGGCUCAUUCGGAAGAGCAUGCCAUGCUUGAUCUCAGGGUCAUGAGUGCGAGCCCCACCCUGGGUGUAGAGAUGACUAAAAAAAAAUAAACUUAAAAAAAUAUAUUUUCAUUCCCCCUGAUUUCUAUCAGUGACACUGAGGUCUGGUGGCCUCAAUUUUGCAUCAAAUGCUAUCAAAUAAAAUUUCAGAGCCAGGUCUUUAAAACGUACAAUAGGGGAGCACCUGGGUGGCUUAGCUGGCUGAGCCUCUGCCUUUGGCUAGGUCGUAAUCCUGGAGUCCUGGGAUCGAGUCCUGCAUCGGGCUCCCUGCUCGCACGGAGCCUGCUUCUCCCUCUCCUCCCUGCUCGUGCGUGCUCUCUCGCUAUCUCUCUCUCCCUCAAACAAGUAAAUAAAAUCUUUUUAAAAAUAAAAUAAAAAAAUAAAGCAUACAAUAGGGCAGUCCCUGUCUUUUACAAUCAAUUUUAUUGAGGUAUAAUUUUCGUUAAAUAAAGUGUUCAGUUGUAUGUAUUUUGACAAAUGUACAUGCCUGCAUGCUGCAUGAAUGUUUUGUUUUUCCCAAGUAUUGUCUUUUUAGUUUUUUGUUUUUGUUUUGUUUUGUUUUUUAGAGAGAAAGAGAGAGAGCACCUGC